rnacentral:lncRNA from 1 species
AUGCCAGAUCGUCUCCCUGUGGGCACCCCACUGGCCCCCAUUGACCCCCAGCAGGAUGUGAUGAGAUCGGAGGGAGGCGGUGUCAGGGACGAGGUGGGCGGGCCUCCUGCUGAUGGAAGGAAGCUCAGCCUCUGCAGUGACCUCAGGCUGCCUGGGUCCCCACAGGCCUCUGACUGGCCUCUGCUGGCCUCGGGUGAAGAGAACCUUCUACCAGAACGUGUCCUCUCCAGCGGCGUUCUUCCAACCCUCUACAGUGUGCACAAUGGGAACUUCCAGCUGUCUGCACCCACCAUGUGCCUCACCUCCUCCUUCUGCGAAGGUGUCUGUCCUGUGGCCGUGGGGAAGGGUCUGUGGUGUGUGCACUACCCUCAGGGCUCUCACUGCCUCUGGGCUCCUGCUCUGCCUGGUCCCCUGGUCCCCCUGGAACGCAUGCCAGAACCACAGCUGAGGAGUGAGCUCUGCACUUCCCCCUCUGUGGCCCUGUUGGGCUCCCACAGCCCAGGAACCAACUCCUCACUUUGGGCAAAGGACAAGAAGCAGUGA